CCUGAUCCAGCCAUGCCGCGUGUGUGAAGAAGGUCUUCGGAUUGUAAAGCACUUUUGUCUGGGAAGAAAGGCAGUAAGUUAAUACCUUGCUGUUUUGACGGUACCACAGAAUAAGCACCGGCUAACUUCGUGCCAGC
rnacentral:rRNA from 1 species